CGCGCCAUUGCAGUCCAGCCUGGGCAACAAGAGUGAAACUGUCUCUCCAAAAAAAAAAAAAAAAAGAAAGAAAGAAAGAAAAAGUAGCAGUUAUUCAUCUCAAUACUUAUAUAGACAGUUUGGCCGUGUCCUAGGUUUUUGCUGGGCCCUGGGGACACAUAACUGAACCAAACUUCAAUUCCUGCCUUCUGAGAUCAUAACGGUAUUGUGGGUUAGAAAUGAGGGUAGGGAGUGACAAACAUGAAAUUGAUGUAAUCAGGGCUAAGAUAGAGGCAGGCACUAGCUGCCCAAGGGGUCAGGGAUGGUCUGGGAGAAGUAACUGAACUGAAUGAAGGAAGAUAGGAAAACCACAAUAAAUAUGGUAUUCGCUGAAUGGUUUCAUGAAUUUCCACAAACACGGAUAGCAAGGAAAAGAAGGAGCCUACUUGAAACAGUGCACCAAUGUGCCGGCACAUAAUAGUGGAUAAAUAAGUAUUUGAUGCAUGAAUGAAAAUUACAUACUGUUACUCAUUAUUAGAGGAUAAAGUAGGCGGGACACAAAGUGAGUCUGGAAAGAAUAGGCAUUAUAUAAUAAAGACGUUAUAUUCGUUUUUCAAGCUCUUCAUCAAUUCAACAAAUAUGUGUCAAGCUACCACUGUGUUCCAGGUAUGCUAUUCAAAAUGAGGAUAUGUUGGAAAGCUUUCUUAUGAGAGGAUGAAAAGUUUUCACUUCUGAUAACUUUUAGGCUGUUAAGGAAUAAAAUAAGAUAGGACCCUCCACAGAUCCCUAAUGAGUUUUUUUUGCACGAAUAGCAAGUCAUUUAUGCAUUCUUUCAUACAUUCAUUCUAUAAACAUUUAAUUGAUACUGUGAAAUAGAUAUUUUGAAAGGUCCUGGAAAUACAAUAAUGAAGAAACAAAAAGACUCCCUCAAGUUGCUCGAUUUAGGUGAUGACACAGAAAGAUCCUUGCUGUAAUGGAGUAUGUCAAGAGUAGUGGAAACAUGGCAGAGUAGUUUAAACUGAAACUUGAAAGGAUUAGAACAGCUAGUCUGAUGCUAUUGGGAUAAAGAAAUUUUAAGCUAAGAAGCAAUCCCAACAAAAGUCCAGAGACUUGAGAGAACAGGACUUUAAGGGAAUUGCAAGUAGGUUCGUAUCACCAGAGCAUAAGAGAUAAGGGAAAACGAGGAGAAAGAGUGACAGAAGUGAGGUUUCAGUUGCUGAAGGACUUCUAGGCAAUGCACCAGACUUCAGAACAUUUCCAUCUUCCUCCUAGAAGAUCAAAGAGAAGUAAUGAAAGUCAAGGUGCUGGAAUCAGACAUGGCAUACUUUUACCAGCACCAUAAAUGAGUGGACUUUCUUCUACAAGAAAAGCUGGGACUACUAUAACAUGUCAGGAUAAAGAAUCCUAUCAAGCUACACAGGGUGCUAGAAAUGCCAAAAUGGCAUUGAAGGCAUUCUUCACCCACUGGUAUUCAGCAGGCACAGAAAAGGCUUAAAUUAAGAAAUCUCAUACAUGAGAUACUUUGAAUUCUAAGUCAUGUGGGUGUUCCUCUCUGUGAUUCUGUAUCCACACAAAAUUUUUAUUAAAUAAAAAACAUGUCAUAUUUUGAGAAAUUGGGAAUGGCAAUGUUUCCUGAUUUUGUAGUUCUCUCCCUUUUUAAGUUUCUGCCUUUUUAUAGUCUGAUGAGUAUUGCCACUGCUAUGAUCCAAGCCACUUUUCAAUCUUAUAAAAGCAAAGACAGAC
rnacentral:lncRNA from 10 species